GCCCUUCCUGCAGAGAGUCACAAAAACAGCACUGCUGAGACCCUAGACAACAGACACCUCCCCGCUUUUGCUCUGGCCUUCUGGGGACCCUUAUCUCCAACCGCCAAGCCUGUUGGGAUCACCAUGAUCCUCCAAAUCCUGGACACUUGACUUUUAAAAGCAUCCACGUGACUCUACGCAAAGCUCAGGCUGGGAAGCACUGAGUGAGAAUGAACCCUGGCCUGCUCCAGCCCACCUGAGGUGAGGAUGGUGGCCUGGGUGGGGUAGGGGGAGCUGGCUUCCCCCAAGCGUCUGGCAGGCAUGUUACUAAGAGAGAAGGCAAGGCUAGGGCUCAUUUUUCAUUUCCUGGUGCUGACAUGCAGGGGAACUGGUGAGGGUCUGUUUAAAGCUUUUAGUGGCAGCGUGACAGCUUAUCUGAGGGCAGGCACAAAGCCUCUGUAAGAACCAGGUCUGACUUUGCCUCCACAGAUCUCGGGAGCAAGGGACAGACCUAAUGACACAGGAGAGGGGUGCAGACCCCAGCCUGAGACAUGCCAGUGUCACAUUUACGAAACCCAAAGGUUGAGAGCUUUCCCUUGCACUUAGGGACCUAACAGGCACUUGGUGCCCCACAGCGGAAGCCAGGUUGUGGGGGGAAGAGCAGGUUUCCCAGCUGGUGUGGGCUGCAUCACAUACCGCAUCCUCCCUGUGCGUGGCCUCAGGGCCUGCCUCCUCCUUCCUGCACAACAGCGCCUCGCUAGUGGGGACCUGGCCUGGCCCCGAUAACAUACCAACUAUGCCCAGGGUGGCAGAGCAGGGCACCUUGGCCUCCUUAGCGCCUUCUCGAGAGUGCUUGUCAGUGGCCUGACUGCGGGGCUCCCCAGGGAAAGCAGAAGCCCCGCUCAGAUGAUAAGGAUGAAACACAAUUAACAUGGCCUAAUUAGUGAGCAGGCGGCUGCUCGCCUGCCCGGGCCCUCCUGCCUGCCCCUGUUCUGCCUCUUCCCAGUCCCGUGGUUGACAGUCGCCUCAGAGAAGCCCUGGGUGAGGCUGAGGACACAUCUAACAAGGAGGACACGGCACAGCACAGACGCACACCACCACGGGACGCAACCCGACAACAGCAGACAAAGAGAGGCCGUACUCGGUCUUUGCUGGUGCAGGUGACACAGAGCUGUCUGCAGUGGAAGGAGCAAGCUCGGGGGCUUGUCCACUGGCCCCAGCGGCGGGAGCAGGAGAGCCCAAGGCUGCAAAAACAUCCUUUGCAAGCUUGCUCAGGGCAGCCCCGCCCUGCAACGGUCUUCAAAGGUCUUUUGCUCGGCAUCAUUUCUCUGCAGAUGCUGAUGGACAGAACAAUCUCUGCAUCACCAUCUCCGCAAGGACAGGAAUCUUUAUCCUUUUUGGUUCCUGUUUUACCCCCAGCCUGGAAAUCAAGCCUUGCCCUUAGGAGCUGCUGGCUAAGUAUUUGUUGAGUGACACAUGAAUGAAUGAGUCAAAGAAUGAAAGGCGGAACAGCUCCAAAGGAGUCCAAUACUGGACUAUGCAGACUCAUGAACUACCCCUCCACCCUGGCUGCUCCCCCCAAAAAUGAACGUAGCCCAUGUGUAUUUGGAGACGUGGCAGCCUCUUCAGGCCUGGUGGGUAAGGUGAAGACUGGGAAUACUCACCUUAUAGGAGCCAAGCACACUCUGGUCAGACUUCAGGAAAACCAGCUGACACACCCAGAAGUGCACACUCACACAAACAGGCACACUCAUAUGCAGGACAAAAGCCCACACAGACAAAUACAUUCUCACCUCUCAGCAACACCCAACCCCUCAGUUCUGGCUGGGUUCAUUUGAAAGACUUGGCCUGUCUGUCUAGUGUCCCUGUCAAUCACCUACAGGGCCCCACAGUUUAGGCUCUUAAUACUAUCACAGAAGGAUCCAGGCUCAGCUCUGUGUGGCCAUGACGGUUGUUAGCUGCUUGGGAUGGCCUCACUGACCCCUUGCUGGUUUCCAUCAGUCUUUGGGAGACCAGCCAUAAUGCUAUGGUAAGCAAGAAUCUAUGCAGAGCUUUGCCUGUGUCCAUGGGGACACAAGGACCCCAAAUGGAAUAAUGGCACUUCUGAUUCAUUUAUCUUAGGCAACGCAUGGGUCCAGAACCACUACCAAACCUUGUCUCAAGUGGCCUUGGAAAACGGUCUGUGGACUGGAGGCAGGACCUGGGACCAACACUAUAUGGGGCUUGGCUCACUCUGCUGAAUCAAGUGGGCUGACACUCGUGUGUCAGGAAGGUCAUAAAACCCCAGCUACAGGUCUGCCGUGAGGAGGAACAAGGAGCCUUAUUCUGCAUCAAGUCAGCCAAUGGAAAUCAUGGGGAAGGCCUGGGGUGAAGAUGUCGGCUCUAUAUAAGUAAGAACUAUCGGAGCUGGUCACGCAAUGCACAGGCCAGCUGCUGGUUGCUGGAGGUGUUCAAGAGAGGAAGGGCAACUCCUUGGCCGUGACGCUGUAACGCUGUGGAUGCACUGCACUCAAUAGGACCUCGGGUGGAGGAUGUCUGUGGGUUCUCUUCAACUGCGAGAGCUUAUCACUCAGGUCAGAUGUUCUAAGUAUCUGGAACAGGGUUGGAUUCCUUAAGCCCCGUCUCCACAAUGCAUACUGAGGACUUUUUCCUGGAAGACUAAAGUGCUCAGUAGAGUCCCUCUUUAAUCAUGAUCCUUGUGAUUCUAUUUUUGCAUGAAAAACAAACACUGUUUAACUGGGGGUGAGUGUCAGGAAAUGGGAUCUGCGCAAGUACCCCAGAUAAUCUAGGUACAGCCCACCAUUCCUAGGCUUUCCCUUCCCUCUGUCACAGCAACCACAGCUGACCUCACCCCGAUCCCUCACCAAGGAGGAACUGGGCCUCUCACCUGAUGACCUGACAAAACAUUAGCUUGAUGUACUGGAUAGACUGAGAGAAAGCAAAGACUCUCCUACAAGAAAGGAACCCAACACUGCUAAGAUUCAAGACUCUUAGAGCAAGUGAGAUGCUACUCACAUUACAGGGAGCCCUGUGGCCACAGUUAUAGAAAGGAGCUGUAAAUCAAAGAGCGAGCACAGUUCAGCUGGACGGGAAUUCAAGGCAAGUCAAUAUCACCCCUCUUGGUUGAUGUUACAGAACUAUUUAGUCCAGGAAAGCUACUGGCACAAAGGUUAUUUCCUACAUCUCAUGUAACAUUUUAUAAAAGGGAAAAUAAAAAUAUCUCCAGGGAUCCAUCGAUCCACGAUCUCCCCUUUUACCUUAACUGACUCACCCAGGCACCUUGCAUGCAAAGAAGGCUUCUUGGGAGCAGUUCCUUCAUGUUCGCUGAGGUCAAACCUGCCUUGAGCAGUGAGAUUAUGCGGGAGGGGCUGUCUGUCUUCUGGCUCCUGGCUUGGGGGGAAGUUGGCACUCAAGUAGGAACUGGCUUGCCCCCAAACUGCCACUCACACAUGCCUUAAAAUGGAAUGUGGGUCUCACGCUUUAUAGACACCUGGAUGGGCUGGAGUCAUUGCGCCGUGGGGCCCAGCUACAUAAUUUCCCUCUCAGCCUCCUAAGAACAUGAAGAUUCUCAGCAUGGUUAAGUCUCACCAGGAUUCUGGCUCACUCAAAUUCCUUACAGAUCUGUUUGCUACUUCCUAGAAAUGGCUUCUAUAGGGGCUUGCAAGACGUGUCUAAGUGUAAUUACAAACAAAAUACAGUUUGUCAAAAAGAA